rnacentral:rRNA from 1 species
CACGUAGGGCGCAAGCGUUGUCCGGAAUUAUUGGGCGUAAAGGGCUCGUAGGCGGUUUGUCGCGUCGGGAGUGAAAUCCACUGGCUUAACUGGUGGCUUGCUUUCGAUACGGGCAGACUGGAGGUAUGCAGGGGAGAACGGAAUUCCUGGUGUAGCGGUGAAAUGCGCAGAUAUCAGGAGGAACACCGGUGGCGAAGGCGGUCUCUGGUCGGAUGUCCUGACGCUGAGGAGCGAAAGUGUGGGGAGCGAACAGG